UACGUAGGGUGCGAGCGUUAAUCGGAAUUACUGGGCGUAAAGCGUGCGCAGGCGGUUUUGUAAGCCAGAUGUGAAAUCCCCGGGCUUAACCUGGGAAUGGCAUUUGGGACUGCAAGGCUGGAGUGCGGCAGAGGAGACUGGAAUUCCUGGUGUAGCAGUGAAAUGCGUAGAUAUCAGGAGGAGCACCGAUGGCGAAGGCAGGUCUCUGGGCUGACACUGACGCUCAUGCACGAAAGCGUGGGGAGCAAACAGG
rnacentral:rRNA from 1 species